rnacentral:rRNA from 1 species
ACGAGUCGAGUUGUUUGGGAAUGCAGCUCUAAAUGGGAGGUAAAUUUCUUCUAAAGCUAAAUACUGGCCAGAGACCGAUAGCGCACAAGUAGAGUGAUCGAAAGAUGAAAAGCACUUUGGAAAGAGAGUCAAAUAGCACGUGAAAUUGUUGAAAGGGAAGCGCUUGCAGCCAGACUUGCCUGUAGUUGCUUAUCUGGACUUUUGUCCAGUGCACUCUUCUGCGGGCAGGCCAGCAUCAGUUUGGGCGGUUGGAUAAAGGUCUCUGUCAUGUACCUCUCUUCGGGGAGGCCUUAUAGGGGAGACGACAUGCAACCAGCCUGGACUGAGGUCCGCGCAUCUGCUAGGAUGCUGGCGUAAUGGCUGUAAGCGGCCCGUCUUGAAACACGGACCAAGGAGUCUAACAUCUAUGCGAGUGUUUGGGUGUCAAGCCCAGACGCGUAAUGAAAGUGAACGGAGGUGGGAACCCUUUGGGUGCACCAUCGACCGAUCCUGAUGUCUUCGGAUGGAUUUGAGUAAGAGCAUGGCUGUUGGGACCCGAAAGAUGGUGAACUAUGCUUGAAUAGGGUGAAGCCAGAGGAAACUCUGGUGGAGGCUCGCAGCGGUUCUGACGUGCAAAUCGAUCGUCAAAUUUGGGCAUAGGGGCGAAAGACUAAUCGAACUAUCUAGUAGCUGGUUCCUGCCGAAGUUUCCCUCAGGAUAGCAGUAACGUAUUCAGUUUUAUGAGGUAAAGCGAAUGAUUAGAGGCCUGGGGGUUGAAACAACCUUCACCUAUUCUCAAACUUUAAAUAUGUAAGAA